rnacentral:rRNA from 1 species
AACGAACGCUGGCGGCGCGUUUAAGCAUGCAAGUCGAGCGGCAAGGGCCUUCGGGCCCUAGAGCGGCGGACGGUGAGUAACACGUGGACAAUCUGCCCCCCGCCCGGGAUAGGCCCAGGGAAACCUGGACUUAAUACCGCAUAAGACCACGGUACCGCAUGGUACAGGGGUAAAAACGAAUCAGUGGUGAAGGAUGAGCUUAUGUCCCAUUAGCUAGUUGGUGAGAUAACAGCCCACCAAGGCGACGAUGGGUAGCCGACCUGAGAGGGUGAUCGGCCACACUGGAACUGAGACACGGUCCAGACUCCUACGGGAGGCAGCAGUGGGGAAUAUUGGGCAAUGGAGGAAAAAACCUCUUACCCAGCAAUGCCGCGUGAGUGAAGAAGGUCUUCGGAUUGUAAAGCUCUUUGAUUGGGGACGAAGAAAGUGACGGUACCCAAAGAACAAGCCCCGGCUAACUACGUGCCAGCAGCGGC